rnacentral:rRNA from 1 species
UACGUAGGGGGCAAGCGUUGUCCGGAAUCAUUGGGCGUAAAGAGCGCGUAGGCGGCCCUGUAAGUCCGCUGUGAAAGUCAAGGGCUCAACCCUUGAAUGCCGGUGGAUACUGCAGGGCUAGAGUCCGGAAGAGGCGAGUGGAAUUCCAGGUGUAGCGGUGAAAUGCGUAGAUAUCUGGAGGAACACCCGUGGCUAAGGCGGCUCUCUAGUACGGUACUGACGCUGAGACGCGAAAGCGUGGGGAGCGAACAGG